CCCUUAGAUGUUCUGGGCCGCACGCGCGCUACACUGAUGCAUUCAACGAGCCUAUCCUUGACCGACAGGUCCGGGUAAUCUUUGAAUCUGCAUCGUGACGGGGACAGAUUAUUGCAAUUAUUAAUCUUCAACGAGGAAUGCCUAGUAGGCGCAAGUCAUCAGCUUGCGUCGAUUACGUCCCUGCCCUUUGUACACACCGCCCGUCGCUCCUACCGAUUGGGUGUGCUGGUGAAAUGUUCGGAUCGGCCGUUUGUCGCGGUUUCCGCGUCAUGUGGCUGAGAAGUUCAUUAAACCCUCCCACCUAGAGGAAGGAGAAGUCGUAACA
rnacentral:rRNA from 1 species